UACGUAGGGUGCGAGCGUUAAUCGGAAUUACUGGGCGUAAAGCGUGCGCAGGCGGUUUUGUAAGCCAGAUGUGAAAUCCCCGGGCUUAACCUGGGAAUGGCAUUUGGGACUGCAAGGCUCGAGUGCGGCAGAGGAGACUGGAAUUCCUGGUGUCGCAGUGAAAUGCGUAGAUAUCAGGAGGAACACCGAUGGCGAAGGCAGGUCUCUGGGCUGACACUGACGCUCAUGCACGAAAGCGUGGGGAGCAAACAGG
rnacentral:rRNA from 1 species